CCUCUAGCAAGUAGCAAUCAGCAAAGCAAAUAGCAAGAGCCAAGAACUCGUACUUGGCUCUGGCUGUAUCUGGCUUUGCGCUUUACAGAAGCUGGGACCCUGCGACCAUGGUCAGCCUUCAUGCACCGUAUGAUCAUAGAUCUUUUCAUCAUUGCAUGGUCGUCAUGAUCCUAUAUAGCACUUUCUCAGGCAAAACAAAAAAAAAAAAAAAGCAUCAUGAUCAAAGCACUUCAGCCAUCUAAUCGGAGUUUUCCUUUCCUUCAAUUGAACGAAAGAUAAAAGAAGGAAAUCAUUCAACUUCAACUAACGGAUAACUUUCAAGGAUCUUCUCAAUCAACCUGUAGUCUCUUUAGUUGGGUUUUCCGUUGACAAGGUUUUAUCAGAGAAGCGAACAGAUGAAAUUCAACUAAUUCACGUAAUUUUCUAACACUCCCAAUCACUAUGGAAGUGGAAGGUAUUACAUAAACUGUGCUAAGUGGUAGGUAUUAUUACUCAAACUCCAAUAGAAGCAGAUGUUUGUUGUUGAAUACAGACAGUGAACGUCCAAGUCCAACCCUAGAAUUAGAAAAAAGAGGACGACUUCCAUUUUCCAAUUCCAUACAAGAAGAUAUCAUAUUACUCAAAAUUCAAGUAGUAAUGAGCCUAAUAGUAAUGGCCUCGCCUCCUCUCUGUUUUUACUGGAGAUCAGAGGAGGAAAUUAAAAUUUAAAACCUCAAACUCAAUGGAAUAUCUUACAACGGUCAUGGUCGGUCACACGGGAAGUUUCUACAAUGUUGGAGAUCGAGCCCAGAGUCCACCAGCCUUGAUCAAAAAAGAAAACUGUUCAUAUAGCAAUUCAUUACAACUUUAGAAGGGCUUGGUCCAUUGGACUUCCGUCUCGUUGCUUCACACUACUACACUACAUGAGUCAUGACAUUCCAAUCUCAUCAACUUCCAGUCUUCCACUUCAAUGGACAAGGAUAUACUCAUUGAAGUCUGAAGAGGAAACUUCAAUGCUGUUAUUUUGCGCUAUAAUGAUGAGGCAGCCACUUUUAUCGAUAUUCAAUGCUACUGCUAUUGACUGCUCAGAAUCAUAAUCAUAGGCUUCCUUUGCAUCUAUUUGUUGCUGAAAGACUAGAAGCUCUGCAGAGAAAAAGACGGUGACUCUGGUAGGAUCACCUUGGAUUAGUCCGUGAUCUUUCUUUUUGGCAUUUUGUCGAUCAACCGAUUAGUCCGUGAAGCUGAUAUCUUUAUUGAAGAUUUGUAGUUUAUUAAAGGACUUUUGCUGCAAGUAUUUCCUUCUCUGUUUUGUUUAGUGGAGAAGUUAGGAAAAGGGUUGACAGGAGGAAGUUCUUAGAAAAGGAAAAGCACAUAUUGGCAUUAGUAGUGGCUUGAAUUUCUGGUAACAAGUGGGGACUUCUAAUAAAACAACUUCUAGAGAAAAAAAAAAAAAAAAAAGGUUGGUUUUGCACUACUACAAUAAAGACUUGUAUAGGUUGGGCUUAACACUGAAAAGUUCCUUCACAUGUCCCAAGUUUGGUUGAGCACCAAAAUUUUCAGCGUUUUGGUCUUUGCAUUGAUUUAUAUCAGAGGGCUUGUCAUUUUUAGGUCCAAGGGUGGCAAGUUUAUACUUAGAAUAGAAGACACCAGCCUGGAGAUAUCUACUAAAGCAUCUGAGGAAGUGAUACUACAAGAUCUAUCCUGGCUUGUUCUUAACUGGGAUGAAGAUAACGGUCCUACUAGCAACUUAACUAUGGUUCUGGAAGAUGAAAAUAGUAUUUGAUUUUUGAGCUGGAAAAAUCUGAUUUCAACUCUUCUCAGUUUCCAUGCAAUUUUGUUGUCCAUUAGUAUAUUGGCUUGGGAUUUUUGUCAACCAUUUGGAAUAAAAGAAAUGAUGGUUAGGAAUUAAAUAUGAGAAUCAAUUGAUGGUAGUAGGAGGGCAUGCUUGGAGUGGUAAUGUGUGACUUAGCUGUUAGCUUCACUUGUAAGAUGUUAAUUCACUAUUUCUGCCUGACUUGAUAAUUUUCUUAUAUGUUUUCAUGCAUAUUUAAAGUUCUGCAUAUGCUUCAAAUAACUGCAGUAUUUCUCUAUUCAACAUGUAGCAUAUGCUCAAAUCAGCAUAUUUGUUCAAGUGUGGACCCUCCAAAAGUAUUGGUUUACCUUAUAGUGAUUGAUUUGCAUUCCAUCAUUAUAGACAAGCAGUUGGCUGGCUAUAUGAAAAGUCUCCCAAAUCCCUUCAUUUUUGGCAUAAAAUAUUUUUCUAACAGUUGAAAGAGGCCCUAGGUAUACAAAAAGGAAAAUUCUUCAACUGGUAUGUUAAAUAGGUGAAUUGGAAGAACUUUGGGAGAAUAUGCUUUUCUAUUCUUCUUUCAAUGUAUAGAGUUUAUUAUAUGCACAUGCACAUAUGGUGCACACUUGUCUAUCCUUCAAACCAAACACAGCCUAAGUUAAAACAAUUGCCACCAGCAUACAGGAAAGCAGGCAAUAGCAAUGGAUGAAGAAGUACAAUAAGAGCCUGCAAAGGGAACACCAUACACUUACCGUUUUCAUGUUCCAAAAGAAGGGACUUCGAAAACUGAUGACCUUAUUCAUGGUGAAGUAAAUAUUAAACUUACUUCAUUGAAACAAGUUUGAUUACAACAGUUCUCUGUUUUCAUUAUUGAUGGUUCUUGCCCUUGUGAUGGAAUAAUGAUGGACAUUGUGUCAUUAAUAUAUUUUACAUGCUCAUCUGAUGCCUGUUGGCCCUCUUUUUACACUAGUUAGUAGUUGUACUUGCUGAGCUGUUUUCACUACCACUUGCAGUUGUUAUAAAAUCCUGGACUGGUAAGCAUGAGAAUGUGGAUUGCAGGGGUCUUGAGAGGGGUGGAGUGGGAUAUAGACCUACCCUUCAGCAUGAAGUGGCCUCUCUCAGGCUCAAACCCGCAUUUUCACACUUGUUAGCCUGAAAUGUUACUAUUGCAUCAAUCAAUAGCCCCUUUUGCAUACAGUUAUAUAUUUCUAUUUUGUAUAUCCUGUUAAUUUUGUUUCUUUUAAGAUCAGUUGGAACUUAGACACACUUGGAGACUUUGCAAUUAUGAGAAGCAAUGGCCAACCAGAUUACAACUUCUGUGUCACAGUUGAUGAUUCUACCAUGGCCAUUUCACAUGUUAUAAGGGCAGAAGAGCAUUUGCCAAAUACUUUAAGGCAGGCAUUGAUAUAUAAAUUAUAAAGUAAUUAUUUUUCUUUAAUUUUCUGCCUGAUUCCCCUACUAUCAGGGUUGCAACUUGGGCGGGCUCGGGUUGGGUUCUUGUCAAAUUUUGAAUGGACUUGGCCUGAAGGCCCAAGUCCGAAACCAUGUAAAAUGCUAAUUUGGGCCAACCCGAGUUGCACCCCUACCUACUAUUAGUGGCUCUUAUCUUUCAGUUAAUGCAGGGAAAUUGGUAAUCAAAUGUUUUAUCAUUUUAGAGGCUCUAAGAUUUCCCAUGCAUCACUUUGUGCAUGUUUCUCUAAUUCUCGCUCCUGAUAAAAGAAAACCAUCGAAACAUCAUGGUACAACUUCAGUGUUAAUAAAUGUACUCAGUCUGUUAACUCCUCAAUAACAUAUGUAUCAUUUUGACAGUUCAGGGAGGAGUAUCUGCCUCGGGCCAUGGUGAACUACCUAGACUCCUGGGUUGGGUGUUGGUACUGAAAAUGAAUUUUUUACCCUUGAACAGCUUGGAUAAUCAGUGGACUGCUCAUUGGAGGAGGUAGGGAAGGAAGGCGCAUAUAAGUAAAAAGGUUAAACUAACCCUUCUUUUUCCAUAAUUACUGUUUAUAUAAAGUGGGACCAGUGCUAACAUCCCUUUGAGAGCAGGAAGAUUAGCAUUCCCUCUGAUAAAUGUAGCAUGUGUCAGGAAACAGGUUCCAAGUGUUUGAUCUGUAUUUGGUUCAUUGACUGCACAAAUGAGGUUGCUUCUAUACAGCAUAGAUAUUAUUCCUCUGCUGUGUUAUUGGACCUUGGCAGCAAAGAAAUGUUUAAUUUAUUAGGUUUCUGGGACAGUGAUUUUCCACUAUCUAUUUCCUAGAAAUUAAAGGUUGAUGAAUGGUCAACAUUUAAGAAUUCUUCCAUCAGAAUAGUCGACGAAGCUUUUAGGUGAAUGCUGGAAGAGUGCUGGUAUCCUCACUGAGUCAGGACUCUUCAUAAACUUAAGCAUUUUUUUUUCUUUUCAUAAGUGUUAGGAUCACCUUUCCAAUUUUUGUUGAGUUGUAGUUAGACCUGUUCAUGGGCCGGGCUGG